GCCUCCUUAGCUCAGUGGUAGAGCACUUGUCUUGUAAACAAGCGGUCGUCGGUUCAAAUCCGACAGGGGGCU
rnacentral:tRNA from 1 species